UCGGGAAUUUUGGGCAAUGGGCGAAAGCCUGACCCAGCAACGCCGCGUGAAGGAUGAAGUAUUUCGGUAUGUAAACUUCGAAAGAAUAGGAAGAAUAAAUGACGGUACUAUUUAUAAGGUCCGGCUAACUACGUGCCAGCAGCCGCGGUAAUACGUAGGGACCAAGCGUUGUUCGGAUUUACUGGGCGUAAAGGGCGUGUAGGCGGUAUGUUAAGUCAUGUGUGAAAUCCCUCGGCUCAACCGGGGAACGACGCAUGAAACUGGCAAGCUAGAGUACCAAAGAGGGUGGUGGAAUUCCCGGUGUAGCGGUGGGAUGCGUAGAUAUCGGGAGGAACACCUGUGGCGAAGGCGGCCACCUGGUUGGAUACUGACGCUGAGACGCGAAAGCGUGGGGAGCAAACAGGAUUAGAUACCCCAGUAGUCCCUGAGCGGGCUGGCAAGGCGCAU
rnacentral:rRNA from 1 species